UGGCCCCCAACACCUGUAACUCUGGCUC
rnacentral:piRNA from 1 species